rnacentral:lncRNA from 1 species
UUAUUGUAUUUUCUAAUAAAAUGUAAAAAUCCCAAUGCGUAAAGUGUAUUGUUACUAAAAAGAACAAGGUUAAAAAAUUAAUAUUUCUUUAGUUUAAAUAGUUUUGAUUGAAAAAUACCGCAACAACUUUGGACAAUGAUUCCAUUCAGCAUCUUUUUCAAAAGGCACAUAAACUGGCUACCAUCAAUGCAUUAUAUUAAUUUUGAUCAGCAUUUUGCAAGGGCUUCAUUAAACAAUUUAUUAAAACAAUUUUUGAGAUUACAUCAUAUAUCCAUUGAAUAUCUGUCAUUUACCAGAAAUCAUCAUGUUUUAUUGGACUUUGUAAUAUUUGUGAAUAUUUAAUAGUAUGCAAUUUUUAACAGUGCAGUGUAAAGUGUUUAUACAUUUAUGAAAUAUAAUGAAUGUUUAUAUUAUGAUUGACAAAGUAUACAUAAUAUAGAUUUAUAUAAGACCAAUAUAUAACUUCAAAUACUUGAUGCAGCAAUCCUGAAUAUUUUCCUUGUCUCUUCUAUGAUUCUAAAUUUAGAAGUAACUUUUUAAUUUUCAAAAAUAUAAAGUCACAGUAAAAGAUUGAAUCAUUAUCGCCUAUCAUGCCUGUGGAGGGAGAUAUAAUGUAUAUUUUGCACACUCAUUGUUUAUUUAUCAAGUGGACAGUCCCAUAGAAAAUAAUUCUGCUGUUAUCUAAAAAGAAUAUUUUUUUGGUUCAAAUAUAAACUGCUGCAUAGAGUCUUUUUUAUUCAUAUAUUUUUAUGCAUGUUAAUUGCAAAAGGGCAAACUCUUGUUUUUAAUAUUUGUUGUAUAUAAAGUUAGUAUUAAUAUUUAAGUAGGAUUACAAUUAUUUCUUUAUGUAUGGCCAAGUUAAACCAAUAAGUGCCAGUAGAACAGACACAAUUAAAUCCAAACUUCACAGGGCAUGAAAAAAAUAAGAUAAAGCAAGGACCAUAUUCAUUUAUGGAUGAAAUAGUGAUAUUUUUUUGCAAUUUAAAAAUUGGAAUUUUGAGAAAACUUUUAAUAAAUUGAAGUUGUUUGACUAAUAAGAUGUAUCUAUCUAUGUAAAUUGUAUGUGCAAUAUAUUUUGUUAUUUUUAGUUUGAAUCAACAUUUCAUCAUGCCCGAGUCAUGUAUCAACAUCACUCAUUAUGUUAUGAAUCUUGUCAUCAGAAGUAGGUUUUCUUAAAAACAAAUAUCUAAAAAAAAACCAAAAAAAAACACACACCAUCUUUUCUGUAAAUGUUCAGUAAGAUUACUCUAUAUUAAGAUUACUCUAUAUUAAGACAUAAAAAAGAUGAUAUAAUAUGAAAUAAAUUGACCAUAUGUGUCUCACACAAAUGUUCUGUUUAGAAUUGUUCGAUAAAAUGCUGUCUUGUACAACUGGAACAGUUAAUCAAAAUUGAUAAAGCCUGCAAAGAAUUUACCUUCUUUAACUCAAAAGAACUGACAUAAUAGUAAAAUGAUAAGAGAUUUUUGAUAUACAUCAAUGAAGCAGCAACCUAACAAAAACACUUAGAUGUAAAUAAAGUCUUUAACAAUAGACAAAUGUGUAUUUAGUAAGUUUGAGGUUUAGAAUUGAUGUGAAUUAUUUUAAAGAUCUACAACUAAAAUACAAAUAACAAAAAGUUAAACAAAUAACAACCUCUGACAAAGUUCCUGAUUUGGAACAAACAUUUAUGUGUGGUGAUAUUAAAAUUAGUUCUUGUAAAAGUCAUCACUCUCAUUUUGGAACUUCAUGGAAUAACAAAAAUAAGGUUGAAACUGUUGUAAAAUUACAUCAGUGUGCUUACAUAGCUGGAAUUUGAAUUUCAUUUGUAGUUACAAAAUUUUGACAAAUAAGAUACUUAAUAUAUUCAUUUCUGAACCCUCUAGUGUAUAUCAAGUUAUAAUCAAGCCUUAAUAAUACAACUGUAUGCUUUAUUUUACUAUUGUAUUAAAUGGCAUGUACAUUUUAUCUCAUUUUAGAAAUCCAACAACAAGUAUUGUAUGAUAUAUUAAAGUUACAUUUUCUUUUACAUUUAUGUAUUUAUUUGUUACAGAAU